rnacentral:rRNA from 1 species
AUUGAACGCUGGCGGCAGGCUUAACACAUGCAAGUCGAGCGGGGACUUCGGUCCUAGCGGCGAACGGGUGAGGAAUGCUUGGGAAUCUGCCCAGUAGCGGGGGAUAACGUUUCGAAAGGAACGCUAAUACCGCAUACGCCCCACGGGGGCAAGGGGGGGAUCUUCGGACCUCUCACUAUUGGAGGAGCCCAAGUCGGGUUAGCUAGUUGGUGGGGUAAAGGCCUACCAAGGCGACGAUCCGUAGCUGGUCUGAGAGGAUGAUCAGCCACACUGGAACUGAGACACGGUCCAGACUCCUACGGGAGGCAGCAGUGGGGAAUAUUGGACAAUGGGCGAAAGCCUGAUCCAGCCAUGCCGCGUGUGUGAAGAAGGCCUUCGGGUUGUAAAGCACUUUAAGCGAGGAGGAAUGGCUGAGGGUUAAUAACCUUCAGCAGUGACGUUACUCGCAGAAUAAGCACCGGCUAACUCUGUGCCAGCCGCCGCCGUAACAC